rnacentral:piRNA from 1 species
UGAGAGGAUGAGAUAUGCAUGCUUAAAGCC